AGCAGGGAGGCGAGGCUGGGGUUAUUCUCUCCGUCCUCUCCGUGGUGCGCUGUAGCGCGCUGCCCGUUUGAUGCCAGGAGAGCGAGUGAAGAAAAACAACUUGAAAGGAAUAAAGACGGAGCCUGGGCGCUUCUUUAUUCCUCCCCUACCGCAUAGGACUUCCACUGUAAGAAUAACACGGGCACAAGCUUCAGUUCAACUCCCGAGACCGGAGGAGAAAAGUUGAUGGGCUGAGAUUUUUUUUUGAGGAAUCUUUACAAUUGCCAGAAUAAGCAACAGCACAUCACUACCCCGAUAACAGUUGCGUGCCGCUUUCUUUUUUGAGAUCCAGUGUUAUUCCAGUUUAGUGUGAUACUUUUGAGUGUGGAGUGUCAAUUUGCGUCAUUUGGACCUUCUGAUGUAGAAGCCUAUUUCAUGCAGUAAGCGUCUGAAAAAAAACUAAAACAUCUCAUUUGAGGUUGAGCGCGUCAGCCUGAGAGUUUAUACGUGAUGAUGUCUAGUGUAAUUCCUUUGUUGGCAUUAUCGUAACAGGUUCAAGUGCUGGAGCUGCAGCCGUUCAUUGCUCAUGUUUUGGAUGGUCAGCUUGAUUUCGCAACAAAACGCUGCAGGGAAUAUUUGGGAAACACUUUAUCUGUAUAUAUAACACGUUUAUGAGCUACACCAGACACUUCAAUGAAAGUAAAAGGAAAACGCAUAGAAAAGGCUCGGACCACGACGCAUUUCCCAAAUGCACUGCAGCUCCACACCCCUGCUGCUAGGGAGAAAUGAGCUAGCCCAAGUCACUGUAGAUUUCAGGAGUUUGCAGGCGAUGUCCAAUCAAAAUGUACUCUAGCGAAGCUAACCUUCCAUUGGCUGCAAAGAUGAUCAAUUAUCAAGUGAUCGAUCAACUUGAGUUCUGAUCUGUGGGGAGGAGUACAGUUUGUAAAAAAAAAACACACCCCAGCAAAGACAAAAGUAAGUGUCUCUUCAUAGCUAGAAUUAUAUUAAAAUAGCUAUAUAUAAUGUAUCCGUGGAUGCAUGACUAGAUUAAUAAUGUACCAAGAUAGGUAUACAUUAAAGUAUGAGUAUUUCCAGUCCUAGUUUUUUUCGCAAAGCUACUCAGUAAUUUCAUGUGUGAGAGAAAGUCUAAACCGUACAGGUCCUGUGUGGAAUAGCCAUUAAGCAUUACGCUUUCUUGUAAAAGUAUAGCUGCAAUUUAGUUUAGCGUUCGGUCAGAGCGGAUUAUGGUAUUUGUCAGUAAGUCACUGUCUAAGACCGCACACUGCCUGAUUUUUAUAUGCACGACUGCUUUCUGGAAGGUACACACAUCUAUUGUAUAAAAAAAACGAGAUAGGAGUACAAUGAAUUCUAAAAUGUACACAAACUGUACAGCAGGUCACAGAUAUAGGAAAAUAUGUUUUGAGUACUUGAGUUUCCAAAUUCCACACGGUGCCGGUUGUGCAACUCAUAUCGAAGACUUCCACUUGGUUACGGGGUUUCCAAAACAUUACAGAAGAACAUUGCAGAUUCGUGCAAUAAAGCAACGUCUUUUGACCACAUUAUUAAGGUGUAAUUACAGCAUUUAAAAGAAUUUGACUCCUUACAAGCUUUAGAUUACCUACCGUGUUAUUUAUAUAUAUUCAAAUGAACCUGUGACAAGGUGUAUGAAGUUUGUCUAAAGAGCGUCUGUCAUCGAUCUGAACAGUUUGGUGCUGGUAAGAGUGUCAUAUCACAUAAUGCAGGCUUCACACAUUCUGCGAUCUCCGCGGUGGAGCUACACUGGGGUCUUUCGUCUAAAUUUACAGGCAUGAAAUUACUAUUAAACCCCCAGACCGGCAGGAAAACCUGCAGAUAUGAGACGUUAAGUAGCUCCGUUUCGGAUACAAAAACACCAGUUAUUAGAUAUAACUUAAUCUAAGACCAAAAUAGCUAGAAAUCAUGCUUUGUGUUUUUUGGAGGCUUAAUGAUCUUCAUAAAGCCUUGGUACAGUAUAGCACAAGCUGACUUCUUGAACUGAAAAUCCUGCAGGAACAUUGAUAUAGCCCAGAGGUGAAAAGUGAAGGCAACUACUCAGAUGCACUGGUACGAGAGUGAGAGGCAGUGUCACGUGUGGACCAAUCAUAAAGUGAAGGAACAAGUCUCGCACCUCCCUGGGAGACUGUUAAUUGAUCAGCACCUGAGAGGAAAAGUGAAGGAGAGGAAAGCCAGCUGCAGUGUGGGUGCGAAGAAGUGUAUCUCCUGCAAGGACAUGGGGAGGGACCAGCCAUCUUCAAAGCACCCUCACCAGCGGCUAAUGAGCUGCUGUGUCCCCUAUCUAUGUCGGCAAGUCUGCAAAUACAAAAGAGGCCUACAUUAUACAUGUCCUCUCCAACCCCUGUCUCUUAUUCCCCAUGCUUUCCUCCAGCAGAAAUGGAAUAUAGCAAUGCAUUCUGGAAUAAAUAAUCAUGGCCUAUAUUCACAAAGGAUUUGACAUUAAUGCCCUGCUCAGAGCCCUAUUUAUAAAGAGAAUAAAAUACAAACAAAAUUUCAAAUGCAAAAAGUGCUUUUUGUAGCUGCCCCGAGUGUAACUCAAUCUUCACUAAUUUCUAAGGCCUAGUUAUGAGGAUGUUGAGCCUUCAGAAAAAAAAGUGCUAACACUGAAUAUCGGCUUAUUUCCAGAAAUAUGCAAUGGCUGGAAAAACUGCCCUCCUAAAAAAUAACCUGAUCAGAUUUUUCUGGCGUAGGUGAUCGGUGGAUGCUUGUUUUUAAAAACAGUGCUUGAUAUCAAGGGUAAACUCCUGCAGGAAAGACAUUUGUGAGUGAUGUCCAUUUUAUUAAGUACAAUUCUAUAAAUAAUAAGAGUUUCAAUAAAUGAAAAUUGUUCACUAAGGACAAGAUGUAAACCUGUUAACAUUGAAUUCAUACUUUGUACGCACUGAGACAGUUAUAACUGUGGACUAUUCAGGCCCUCUAAUUUCUAAUGCCUAUUGCUCUUCUUAGCCAAGUGUUUCUCACUGUUGGGUUUUUAAAUAGAUCGGUCAGAGGUUUCUGGGAACAGCCACUGAAUGUUUUAAAAAAUGCAGAAUGUUGAAAAUGAAAAUAUCUUCUGCAUAGGAUACUUCUUACAUCAGACUCCAGUGCAGAGACGUGUGCUGUUCUAUUAUGCAGCUCUCAUACCAGGUAACCAGAAACAUUUAUUUUCAGCAUAUGAAAAAAACCAAUGUUAGGCCCAAAGAAUCACCCAUUUUUCUAUAAAUCCUUUUAGUCUUUGAACAAGAAUUUAAUAAGUGGUUUUUAGGAUUCCUUCAAAAAUAAAUUGCCUUCCAGCAUGAAUGUUCUAUGAAUUUAAUGACACCUAAUAGACACUAUAUGCCUCAGGAGAUCUGCUGUGAUAGGUGUCCUUGUGUGAAGAACAAGUAGAGACGUUUUAAGAAAAACGUAACAUAAUAAUUGAGGAACAGCUUAAUAUCAUAGCUGGUGAAAAAUUAGAUUUUAAUAACGGCAUACUGUUCUUUAAACGAAUCACAGUGGAUAAACCAGGGGAUACUACAGGGAAUUAAAUCUGAGCUACUUAGGCGAUUUGAUGCAUAAGACUGGUACUGUAACUGAGUCCUACGCUAGUUUUGCAAAUGCUAACUAAAAGCAGGAGUCAUGGGCACUAAGAAAAUCUAUAUACAGUACUAAUUUUUAUGUUUACCUUUGUCCAAUCACCCUCUCCCACAGGAAGGUGAUUACUGGGACGAGACAAAUGGCUUCUUUGUUUGUGACAAAAAGUGUGAGACACCCUUUGCGGCUGACAUGGCGCUUGGUGCCCCAUGGUGCUUUACAGUACCUGUCCCGAGUGGGCACCACCCAUUCUUCUUUAAAGCGUGCUUUAAACACAUGAAUGCGAUGAUCAAACAGCUCCAUCGUGCUUGUUGUGGAAGUGAACUGUUUCAAGCACUGAGCAGGCCCCUGCAUGCCGGCGCAGGAACAAUGCAGGUCUCCUUGGGGAACGCCAGCGAACUCCUAUGGUAGUGAGGAGGCUGCAGAACAGGGAGGAGGGGUAGGCGCUUUCUGCAGGCAGACACUACUUUUCAAAAUGACAGCAGUUUAUUUAAUCACAUACCUGAAUGCUGGAUCUGAGAACUGAUAUUAUGAAGUGCACUGUGAAUAUGAUCAUUUUCAAAUGGAACAUACAGAUGCACUGACUGUUCUCAUGUAUGAUUAAAUACAUUAUUGACAUUAUGAAUGGAAGGAUCAAUUACUAAAGCAAUUUCCAUUUUCCAAACAGAGUUAGAAGUAGAAGAGUUUCCCAUGGGAACCUACAUUGUGAGAACAACAUACUCAUGGAAGCUAAAAAUGAUCAGGGACUGCACACUAUAUGGAGCCUGAAUGUUAGAGAUACUCUAGCUUGUCACUGAAAAUCCCAGAAGUGACCUAGGGAUAAAGGUUGUGUUAUUGGGUAUAUAGUUAAAGAGAUUUUUGUUUGUUUUGGGCGGUGGGGUCCAUCUAGGUUAAAAAAGGCUACUUUAGAAAACCUAAUAACAUUUCCUGUAAAAACAAAAUGUGGAAAACUAUUAUACUCACAGUUUGAAAGAAGCUUAAUUAAAAAAGGUGGAUGUACAGUAUGUGGUAAGACGCAAGGUCAUUUGCCUAAAAAUAGUUUUUUUCAGUUUUGCAAUUAUAUACAGUAUGUAUUGUCACAAAGCACAAGAGCAUUUUCUUUACAAAACAAAAUACCGUUCUGCACUGGCAGAUGUCUUGUGUUGGUUCAAGUUGUGAGUCUGAAAAUCAUCUUAAAGCCUAACACCUGGUCUACAGAAUUACUGUAUGUUUCUGUCCUUGUGCUUUUCUAAUUGAAUUGUAAACCUGCGUACAGAAAGCAUUCAUUUUCAGCAAUUUCCUAACAGUGAUUUAUUUAAUGAAAGGCUCAAAGCAUUAGCUAAAAGCAAUCUUGUAAAUGACUUGCAUCACUUCGAGUGCUUCAUCACUUCAUUAAUUUAAAAUAUUAUCCAUAGGCACAAGUGCCAUAAUUUUGAACAAUGCUACAUUGUUAACUUAUUAAUGCAGGAAAUCAGACAAGUCAUUUUGAACUGAUUUAUUUCUUAUUAUUACAUCAUUUUAGGAUAUCUUUCCUUCGACUGUCAUGGAUUAUGUAAUUCAAUGUGUUUCUAAAGCUUAAAAAGGUAGCACUUGGCACUUCUCUUGUCAGCAAAAAAAACAUCACAAAGAUGGAGGAAAUUAGUACUUCAUUGCAACUCUUUCUUACAAGACUAUACAAUAACAUUUAUUUAUAUCGUUUUAAAGAACAAUCACUGCUUCAAAAUGGAGAAUACCAACAAGCUUUCUGCUUUAGAUUACUGAAAAUAAAGACACAAAUACCAAUUUUCUUGCUUUCCAAAUGUUUGCUUUCUGCAGAAGAUACAGACAUUGUAUGCCUAGUAUACAAACAGCUGGCAAAACUCUGUGUUCUAGACUUUUUGUGCAACUUUCAGUAACCAAACCUUUAGAUAAAUUACUUCAUAAUAGCCCCUGACAUGACAAAGUCUCGCCAACUUUUUUCACUGUUAAUCAUCAUAACACAACAAAACGUGUAAAAAAAAUGCAACCAACACCCCAUGGCAAGACAAUUAAAUAUGCACAAAACCAACUAAGUGUGAUGUUGUCUGAUUAAUUUGUGUGGAAAAAACAUGUAAGGAAAAACAAAAUAGAACAAUAUUUUGUCAACCAACACAAAGCACAGGGAAAUACAAAAAAAAAAAA